rnacentral:rRNA from 1 species
UGGGGAAUAUUGGACAAUGGGCGAAAGCCUGAUCCAGCCAUGCCGCGUGUGUGAAGAAGGUCUUCGGAUUGUAAAGCACUUUAAGUUGGGAGGAAGGGCAGUAAGUUAAUACCUUGCUGUUUUGACGUUACCAACAGAAUAAGCACCGGCUAACUUCGUGCCAGCAGCCGCGGUAAUACGAAGGGUGCAAGCGUUAAUCGGAAUUACUGGGCGUAAAGCGUGCGUAGGUGGUCGUUUAAGUCCGUUGUGAAAGCCCUGGGCUCAACCUGGGAACUGCAGUGGAUACUGGACGACUAGAGUGUGGUAGAGGGUAGCGGAAUUCCUGGUGUAGCAGUGAAAUGCGUAGAGAUCAGGAGGAACAUCCAUGGCGAAGGCAGCUACCUGGACCAACACUGACACUGAGGCACGAAAGCGUGGGGAGCAAACAGGAUUAGAUACCCUGGUAGUCCACGCCCUAAACGAUGCGAACUGGAUGUUGGGUGCAAUUUGGCACGCAGUAUCGAAGCUAACGCGUUAAGUUCGCCGCCUGGGGAGUACGGUCGCAAGACUG